rnacentral:rRNA from 1 species
UACGGAGGGUGCAAGCGUUAUCCGGAUUCACUGGGUUUAAAGGGUGCGUAGGUGGGUUGGUAAGUCAGUGGUGAAAUCUCUAGGCUUAACCUGGAAACUGCCAUUGAUACUAUCAGUCUUGAAUAUUGUGGAGGUCAGCGGAAUAUGUCAUGUAGUGGUGAAAUGCGUAGAGAUGACAUAGAACACCAAUGGCGAAGGCAGCUGACUACGCAUAUAUUGACACUGAGGCGCGAAAGCGUGGGGAUCAAACAGG